rnacentral:rRNA from 1 species
CAACUCUCAACAACGGAUAUCUUGGCUCUCAGAUCGAUGAAGAACGCAGCGAAAUGCGAUACGUAGUGUGAAUUGCAGAAAUGUGAAUCAUCGAAUCUUUGAACGCAAAUUGCGCUCAAGGCUUCGGCCAAGAGCAUGUCUGCCUCAGCAUCGAUGU